rnacentral:rRNA from 1 species
UGGGGAAUAUUGGGCAAUGGGCGCAAGCCUGACCCAGCAACGCCGCGUGAAGGAAGAAGGCUUUCGGGUUGUAAACUUCUUUUCUGAGGGACGAAGCAAGUGACGGUACCUUAGGAAUAAGCCACGGCUAACUACGUGCC